rnacentral:tRNA from 1 species
GGAGGAAGCUCAGUGGUAGAGCACUUGCCUAGGGUGCAUGGGGCACUGGGUUCAAUUCCCAGUAUGAUGCA